rnacentral:rRNA from 1 species
AGCUUCCUUAACGGGAGGCAGCAGUGGGAAAUCAGUUGCACAAUGGGCGCAAGCCUGAUGCAGCCAUGCCGCGUGUGUGAAGAAGGCCUUCGGGUUGUAAAGCACUUUCAGUUGUAGGAAAGGUUAGUCGCUAAUAUCGGCUAGCUGUGACGUUAGCAACAGAAGAAGCACCGGCUAACUCCGUGCCAGCAGCCGCGGUAAUACGGAGGGUGCGAGCGUUAAUCGGAAUUACUGGGCGUAAAGCGCGUGUAGGUGGCUUGUUAAGCCAGAUGUGAAAGCCCGGC